UAUCAAUAUAGGACCACUGUUCUAAAAAUCCAAAGUAAAAUCUUGAACUUCAUGUCUCCUGCAGCUCCUGUGGGCUCCGUCCUGCUGCUCUCUGAGUGUCUGUCUGAGGGACAGAUGAGGGCGUCCUGCUCCUCUGAGGGAGGGGACAGUCCUCAGUACAGCUGGACUCUGGAUGGACACACACUGACACAUGCUGAGCUCCUCUCUGGAAACAAUGAGAGCAACAACAUCACUCUGAAACAACACGUCUCAGGACGUCUGCUCUGUUCAGUCAGGAAUCAAGUCAGUCGUGUCUCCAAAGAAGAGUCAAUAUCUCCCUGUAAAGGUCUCUCUCUGCUCAUUUGUGGUUUGGAGUCUGCAGUAGCAGCUGUUUCACUGGGUGUGAUCUGCAUCUAUUUUUAUUGGAAGAAGAGGAAAUAUGAGCAGCUUUCAGCCCCCGCAACACAAACAAUUGAAUUGAUCUGAGAAGAUUAUUUUUUUAUUGCUGAUUCAGGAGAUCACCUUCAUCCCUGGACAUCAAAGACAGAAAUGAUCAGAGCACCGUUCAUUUGUCAUUUGUUGUAAACUGUCAGAUUAUGUAAACUAUAUUUAGUGGUCACUGACUAAAUAUGAUACCACUCAAUUAAAGUACAGUGCAAUCAAAGUAAAUAACAUUGUAGAUUAGCUAACAAUUAAUUACAUGUUGAUUUAUACUGUUUUGCUUUUGUUCACAUUGGGUUAUUAUAAAUAUAAUGCAAGUUUGAGAUUGUGCAGAAAAUAUAUUAUUUAUUUAUAUAAUAUUUUACAAAUAUAACUUUUUUUUGCAAAAGGGAAUUUCUUUUUCUGAACAUAUCUGACCAUAUAACAUAUGUUACUUUCCUACAUAUGAAUGCUACAGAUGUGAGUAUACAGCUGCUAACUUAGACAUAUACAGGUUUGUUGCUAAAACAUAACAAACAUAAAACAGACUCUUAGAAGCAGCAUGCGGUUAUUUUAGCACAUACUGUAUUUUAUAGCUGAGGAACCGAAACAUUGGCCAGAAUCUUCUUGGUGAGUCAUCAUUAUUUGCAGCAGCUAAUCAAAAAAAGGACACAAAAUAAAAAACAAUUCUCUCAUCA
rnacentral:lncRNA from 1 species